GGGCGGCGGAGGGAAGGCAGGCCCGGCCGGCUCUCUGCCACCGCCCCCCGCCGCCUCUCCCCCUCAGGGGGAGGCCGCUCGCCCGCCGUGCCCACCCCGGGCCGAGGGGCCUCCCUCCUGCCCUUUCCCCCUCUGGGUGUUCCCGGCAGGUUUGGCCUGGCGGAGUUGAGGCCACGCAGAAGCAUUCCCUGGGGGGCGACGAUGGGAAGGGCUGAGGGGUGCCGUCGUGCUGGGUAUCGCUAUGGCCGGGGUGUCUUUUGGGUUCUGUGGUAGCCAGAAAAUGUCUGCAGAGUCGUUCCGAGGUGUCUAUGAGGGGAAAGCGGUGAUAGAGAGAUGACAGGAAGUCUUGCUCCUGAUGCUUUGGUCUGGUGCUGGAGAGAUGCUGGAUGCUUCCCCUACUGCAGUGGUCAUGAAGUUUUGUGUAUAAAUGGGACUGCUUCAUACACAGCAAGGGGUUUUGCCUGGGGAAAAUUGGGCAUUCUCCAAAAACUGCUGUUGGCAGGGUUGAUUCCUUGAUGAUAAAUGUGGAUAUUUGCUGAAUUUUCAGAAAGAAAUAAAGAACCUGCCAUUGUGCCAUAAGGCUGGAUGUCGGUGUCUUACACAGGGAAAUGAAUAACGCAUCUUACUGUUGGAAGGAAGAAUCUGAAAUCAUAUUUGAGGAGGCAGUCAUCAUGCAUGCAGAAUGAAUACUGCACAUAACAAUAGCGUUUCCUCAAUAUUGUCACUUACGGCAUCAAGCGACCCUGAAAACGACCAAAAAAACAAGUACAUGCUGCAGUCAGUCAGAGACAACGCCGGAAAUCAGGAACGUGGCAUGAACAGCUUCCCGAAGGGAACCGGCCAGACUGGCAGUUAGAGGACACUGCUUAUACUGCAGCCAAAUGACAAGCUGAUGUUAUUACAAGAGAACCACUACGUAGCAGCAUAGAUAAGAAGCAAAGGCGAGGCGUUUUUAGCCACCGAGCUUAUUACUAUGCCACGUGUGUAAUUUUUGGCAGCAUGGCUCAAUAUCAAGCUUCAGAAUUGCAGGACAAAUGCGUCCCAAAAAUAAAAAUGUGAGACACCA